AGGGGGCAAGCGUUAUCCGGACUUACUGGGCGUAAAGGGAGCGUAGACGGCCGUGCAAGCCAGAUGUGAAAGCCCGGGGCUCAACCCCGGGACUGCAUUUGGAACUGCGUGGCUUGAGUGUCGGAGAGGCAGGCGGAAUUCCUAGUGUAGCGGUGAAAUGCGUAGAUAUUAGGAGGAACACCAGUGGCGAAGGCGGCCUGCUGGACGAUGACUGACGUUGAGGCUCGAAAGCGUGGGGAGCA
rnacentral:rRNA from 1 species